AUUGAACGCUGGCGGCAUGCCUUACACAUGCAAGUCGAACGGCAGCACGGGUGCUUGCACCUGGUGGCGAGUGGCGAACGGGUGAGUAAUACAUCGGAACGUACCUUAUCGUGGGGGAUAACGCAGCGAAAGUUGCGCUAAUACCGCAUACGCCCUGAGGGGGAAAGCGGGGGACCGUAAGGCCUCGCGCGAUUAGAGCGGCCGAUGUCUGAUUAGCUUGUUGGUGAGGUAAAAGCUCACCAAGGCGAUGAUCAGUAGCUGGUCUGCGAGGACGACCAGCCACACUGGAACUGAGACACGGUCCAGACUCCUACGGGAGGCAGCAGUGGGGAAUUUUGGACAAUGGGCGAAAGCCUGAUCCAGCCAUUCCGCGUGAGUGAAGAAGGCCUUCGGGUUGUAAAGCUCUUUCGCAAGGGAAGAAAACUUAAGCUCUAACAUAGCUUGAGGUUGACGGUACCUUGAUAAGAAGCACCGGCUAACUACGUGCCAGCCGCCGCGGUAA
rnacentral:rRNA from 1 species